UACCUUAUAUUACCUCACCAAUUUGUCACCUAUUUUUCUCUAAUUUCCCGAACUUUUACUGUUUAUACCUAUGUCAGAUAAUUAUUUUCGAAUUGCGCGGCGAGUGAGUUUAAACGUUUUUUAAAUUCAUUUGAAAGUUUUUUUUAGGAUUUGAUUGUUAGGUUAUAAUAACGAGAAGCGGUGAAGACGAGAUAGUUAGAAGAGCUAUGGAGUCAAAACUUCAAGAGAAAAGACCUAGCGGAAGACCUAGAGAAAAAUGAUUUAAAGUGGUAGAAAAUAUUUUGGAAAGCCUAACAGUUGAAAAGUAGAAAGUGACAGUUUAGGAUAAAGACAGCUGGCGAAAUGUACGGUAAUGAUAGCAAAAACUUUAGGAUUGUAUUCGUGGUAUAAGAAGGAAAAAAAUAAAAAGUUUAGAUAAAUUUCUUGUCUAUUUGUAACUUAUAACCUGCAAUAUUGGUCGAAAUGAUAUGGUAAAAGUUUAUGACAAUAUUAUUAUAUUGGUGAUACAUUUUCUGUUAAAUUUUCAUUUUGAGAUGUUCGAAAAAGUAUCUGUAGACAAUAGGCCGGUAAUGUAUACGGCAAAUCAUAAUAUAUUAUAACUGCUGAUACAUCCUGAAUAUCCAAUAAUUAUGUUGUAAAACAUGUUGUACAUAAUUUUGUAAGGGGACGGUGUUUCGACAUUGGGGUAUGGGAUGCACAGCGGGACUCGUAGAACACUGAAUGGGCAUUCUGAUUUUGUAAAUUACGUAGUCUGAUGUGUGUAAAUUCAAUGCAAUAUAAUGAUACAAUAUUUUGUUAUUGUCGAUGACAAACGUGUCAUAAAAAGGGUUGAAAGUACAAUAAAAUGCUAAAACGGACAUAAUAUUUUUAAGUCGGUCAAAACGUACGUCCUGCAAGGAUAAAAUUAAAUGAAAUUCCGUUUUUCUUUUUUUUUUCUGAGGGUGUCACGUUUUAUUUGUAUAUAUUGUAUUUUUACUAUUUGUAGAUAUACACACGUCACUCAGUAUAUUAUAAUAACGACACGGAGAGUGCAAGUGCAGUUUUCGGGUGGCCCGUGAUAAUCAGGUUAUCCCAUGGAAGCGUGUUCUGGGCAAAACUACCGCCGUGUUUUACUUGUAUAAGGCUGCACACCCGUAAAUGAUACCGAGAGUCACGUAUAUACCGCCGUACACCAAAAACUAUAACAACACCCAAGAAGUAAGAACGAAUAUAAUGCCAGGUUUAAUCAUAAUUCAAUCUUUCGAACUAGUUAUCAUUUGGUUUCAGAAAGUAAAUUAUAAUUAAUGUGCAGCACAUAAGUGGAAAGGGCAGAAGUGUACAUUAAUUCCUAUCGCGGGAUCAUCGCAUAAAAACGUGUACCUGGAUAUAUUGAAGGCGAAGGAGCUUUAUCUUAUUGCUUGCCGUUUCUUUCGAAUUAUCGAAUAAAGUAUCUGGGAUAUCAUGGUUUUGCGUAUUUAUCUAUCCUUUUUUACUGUAGUCUUUUACCUUUCGAUUUCCAUUUAAGAGCGUCUAUUAUAUUGCAAUUCGAUUUUUGUGCGUGCCAUGGGCAGUCAAUUAGUUUCCUUUUAAGUGAUUAUAUACUAUUCGCCGAAAAGAUGUUUUAUUUCGGCAUUAGUCACAAUAUUCUAUAUUAUUAUGUAGUCAUUUGGUAUAGGUUACCUUUGCGGGUAUAGAUAAUCGGAUUGCCGUUAGAAAGGUGGACGAUAACGUGCAGAGCACGACGGGCAUUUAAAAUUCAGUAGGUGUUAAGUAUCGGAAAAAAGUGUAUAAAUAUAUAGCCAGAUGUAUAAAGAUUAACAAACCCAGUACUGUGCAAUUGUCGUUUUUAUAGCGUCUUUUGUAAUUAUGUGACG